CUGUUGCUUGCAACAGCGAAUUGUAGUCUCGAGAAGCGUUUUCUCGGCGGAUCAAGCCUGCCAAAGUUGCUUGGAAAAGCGCAUCACAGAGGGUGACAAUCCCGUCUAUGGCAGGCAAGACCGUCGUCUAUGAUACGCUUUCGCUGAGUCGGGUUGCUUGGGAAUGCAGCCCAAAACAGGUGGUAAACUCCAUCUAAAGCUAAACAUUGGCACGAGACCGAUAGCGAACAAGUACCGUGAGGGAAAGAUGAAAAGAACUUUGAAAAGAGAGUUAAAAAGUGCGUGAAACCGUUAGAGGGGAAGCAGAUGCGGUUAGCAAUGCUUUGCAGAGAUUCAGGCUUUUUGCUUGCCAAAACACGAGCUGUAUGGAUUCGAAUGAACCGUCAGCUCGUGACUUUGUUGCAUGUAAAGGUCGCACUUCUCUGCAAAGCGCGUCAACAACUGGUGAGAUUGAGCUACAGGGCACCAGAGAAGGUAGGCGCAGCUUAGGUUGUGCUGUUCUAGCUCUUGGUUGACCUAGCCUGAACUUGGCAGAGGAGCAUAGCAGUGCAUGCUGAUCUCUUCAUUGAGAUCGGCUGACGUUGCCGUGUUAUUUUUGUGUCUGCUGUGGCGCACUGCUUGCAGUCCGUCGUGGUUAGGUGCGAAGAUGUGCACGGGUAAACGUACAUUUUGAUGCACUUUGGUUGUUGUCGGCCAUAUGGCCUCAUCUGACCCGUCUUGAAACACGGACCAAGGAGUCUAACAUGUGCGCAAGUCUUGGGGUGACCGAAACCCAAAGGCGCAAUGAAAGUAAAUGAGCACUAGCUGCUGCGAGGUGAGAUCUUUGCUUUAGCCAAAGCAAAGCGCAUCAUCGACCGACCUAUUCUACUCUUAGAAAGGUUUGAGUAAGAGCGCAAAUGUUGGGACCCGAAAGAUGGUGAACUAUGCCUGAGUAGGGUGAAGUCAGAGGAAACUCUGAUGGAAGCUCGUAGCGAUUCUGACGUGCAAAUCGAUCGUCGAACUUGGGUAUAGGGGCGAAAGACUAAUCGAACCAUCUA
rnacentral:rRNA from 1 species